CUUCAGUACAAAGACUUUUGGCCAUAAUGCCUAGUUCGGACUACUUUAGUAUUUUAGUCAAGUACGAAUGAUUUAGGGCGGUAAAUCCAAAAAUUGUUCGUACCUACACGACUAAAAUACUAAAGUAGCCCUUAGACCAUUAGCCCGAACUAGGCAAAAGACUUUAAGCACUGUGUUGUUUGCGAUAAUAAAUUAGUAGGUACCUAUAGAAAUCAGACAAAAAGCGUAUAGUAAUUUCAAUUUGACGGUGCGGGACCCUUCAGCCCUUCGUGCACUUGGUUUUAUUUGGCGGUUUCAGAGUCAACGGUCUUAUAGCGAAAAGCUUCGACAAACAUCACAGGAAGCUUUCACUUAACUGUUGGAUCAAGAGUCGGAUACAGAAGGCGGUGAUUCUUGAGACGGCGCGUAUUGUGAGGAGGUGCCUCACUCACACACACACACAAGUUUUUUUUUGUUUUGUAUUAUAUUUUUGUAUUAAUGUUGUUAAAAAUUCAAAAAAGGAACAAAUAAAUAAAUGAGAGGUAAAAGAAAUAAAUAAAGGUUUA